rnacentral:lncRNA from 1 species
AAUGCGCAUGCGCGAGGAGCGAGCCGCUUCUCCCCAUCACAGCGAUUCCCAGGGUUGUCAUAGAAACCACUCCCUGGGGCUUGGCAAAGCAGGAGCCCUCCGUGGCAGGGCUUCGGUGUCGGGGCUCCGAGGCUCCGGCCUGACUUCUCCACGGGGUCCACAGGAGCGUCUCCGGAUGCCAGGACCUGAAAUGGGCCGACCAGGAUGAGGAAACCACAGGCAGAGGCCGGGGAAGCAGCGCGGCAUCCCAUCCUCAGGCCUGCCCGGACGGUGUUCGGGAUCAAGAGGACCACACUCCAGCCCAGGACAAAAGCCCCACGGUAGCACAUUGUCCGGCAGGAGAGGAGCAGACCCACGUCCAAGAAGAUGGUUGUACCUUUCCACGCCUCUUCUCUGCGAAAUGAAGCCACACCAUGACACAAUCUUGAAGAGGAAGCCGGGAAUGGGAGACGGCAACAAUCCCUGUCCCUGGAACGCUGGCCUCUAUGGACAAGCCACCCGCUUCGCACCCCUCCCCUUAUGCCCGUGGCGGUGGCACGGCGCCGUAUCCUGCCUGGGCUCUGGCCUCUGCUCUGUCCUCCCUCUUCCACUGUCUCCCCUGUUUCUCAGCGGCCUAGAUGCCUCUUGGUCUGGCUGAAUAUCUUCUAUGAAGAUCACUUCCCCGUCCAUCAGGGAGACAAUUCCUGGAGAUUCGUGUCAUGACUGUUUCUCUCUCCAAACCUGUUUCUGCUGGAUUGCGCAGGUCUGAUGACCCUGGAGCUCUUGGCUUCCAUACGUGUCUCAGACAGCAUACUCUUCCCCUUUAAAUAUUGAAGCCUCAGCAUCGUCUUUGGAGAAAGGCACAGACCACAGAUUGUUUAUAUGAUUCUGUGUUUUUUCCUUCCAACUUGUCCUUAAUCUUGGCAAAAUAAACUUCUAAAUUGA